GACGAACGCUGGCGGCGUGCUUAACACAUGCAAGUCGAACGGAAAGGCCCUGCUUUUGUGGGGUGCUCGAGUGGCGAACGGGUGAGUAACACGUGAGUAACCUGCCCUUGACUUUGGGAUAACUUCAGGAAACUGGGGCUAAUACCGGAUAGGAGCUCCUGCUGCAUGGUGGGGGUUGGAAAAUUUCGGCGGUUGGGGAUGGACUCGCGGCUUAUCAGCUUGUUGGUGGGGUAGUGGCUUACCAAGGCUUUGACGGGUAGCCGGCCUGAGAGGGUGACCGGCCACAUUGGGACUGAGAUACGGCCCAGACUCCUACGGGAGGCAGCAGUGGGGAAUAUUGCACAAUGGGCGGAAGCCUGAUGCAGCAACGCCGCGUGCGGGAUGACGGCCUUCGGGUGGUAAACCGCUUUCGCCUGUGACGAAGCGUGAGUGACGGUAAUGGGUAAAGAAGCACCGGCUAACUACGU
rnacentral:rRNA from 1 species